rnacentral:ncRNA from 2 species
AGUUUCCUUCGGGGCCGGGUGAAAAUCCCGACCGGCGGUGAUGAGGUCAACCUCUAAGUCCGUGACCCGGACGCUAUACAAGCGGACGGUGGAUCUAGUGAAAAUCUAGAGCCGACAGUGAAAGUCUGGAUGGGAGAAGGAAGUG